rnacentral:SRP_RNA from 1 species
GCCGGGGGCGGUGGCUCAAGCCUGUAAUCCCAGCACUUUGGGAGGCCGAGACGGGCGGAUCACGAGGUCAGCAGAUCGAGACCACCCUGGCUAACACGGUGAAACCCCGUCUCUACUAAAAANNNNNNNNNNUUUUUAGUAGAGACGGGGUUUCACCGUGUUAGCCAGGGUGGUCUCGAUCUGCUGACCUCGUGAUCCGCCCGUCUCGG